rnacentral:rRNA from 1 species
GAUGAACGCUGGCGGCGUGCCUAAUACAUGCAAGUCGAGCGAACAGACGAGAGUGCUUGCACUCUCUGACGUUAGCGGCGGACGGGUGAGUAACACGUGGGUAACCUACCUAUAAGACUGGGAUAACUUCGGGAAACCGGAGCUAAUACCGGAUAAUAUUUAGCUUCGCAUGAAGCAAUAGUGAAAGACGGCUCUGCUGUCACUUAUAGAUGGACCCGCGGUGUAUUAGCUAGUUGGUGAGGUAACGGCUCACCAAGGCAACGAUACAUAGCCGACCUGAGAGGGUGAUCGGCCACACUGGGACUGAGACACGGCCCAGACUCCUACGGGAGGCAGCAGUAGGGAAUCUUCCGCAAUGGACGAAAGUCUGACGGAGCAAUGCCGCGUGAGUGAAGAAGGUUUUCGGAUCGUAAAACUCUGUUGUAAGGGAAGAACAAGUACGUUAGUAACUGAACGUACCUUGACGGUACCUUACCAGAAAGCCACGGCUAACUACGUG